rnacentral:rRNA from 1 species
UAGGGAAUCUUCGGCAAUGGGGGGAACCCUGACCGAGCAACGCCGCGUGAGUGAAGAAGGUUUUCGGAUCGUAAAGCUCUGUUGUUAAGGAAGAACGUGUGUGAGAGUGGAAAGUUCACACAGUGACGGUACUUAACCAGAAAGGGACGGCUAACUACGUGCCAGCAGCCGCGGUAAUACGUAGGUCCCGAGCGUUGUCUGGAUUUAUUGGGCGUAAAGCGAGCGCAGGCGGUUAGAUAAGUCUGAAGUGAAAGGCAGUGGCUCAACCAUUGUAGGCUUUGGAAACUGUUUAACUUGAGUGCAGAAGGGGAGAGUGGAAUUCCAUGUGUAGCGGUGAAAUGCGUAGAUAUAUGGAGGAACACCGGUGGCGAAAGCGGCUCUCUGGUCUGUAACUGACGCUGAGGCUCGAAAGCGUGGGGAGCGAACAGGAUUAGAUACCCUGGUAGUCCACGCCGUAAACGAUGAGUGCUAGGUGUUAGGUCCUUUCCGGGACUUAGUGCCGCAGCUAACGCAUUAAGCACUCCGCCUGGGGAGUACGACCGCAAGGUUG